rnacentral:ncRNA from 2 species
CGCCUGUAGCAGGGAAAGAGCGGUGAAAAUCCGUCGCAACAGCCAUUGCCGUCACAGUCGGAAUGCCUGCCUUGCG